AUCUUUAUGCCUGGAAUGAACCCGGCCUGUGCUUCACUGAUAAUGCUUGCCAUCACCUUCUGCAUCCUAUUGGCAAGUAUUUUGAGAUCAUUUUAUAGAGGACAGAGCAGCAAGCAAUUGCCUAUACUCUUUGACUGUAGUUGGUUUGGACACUUUAGGAAUUAGGGUAAUCGUGGCACAGUUGCUGGGUUUGUACAUCUUGGUUGAGGAGAAGAAUUGCUUGAUGCCGCUGAUAACCUGCUUGCCAAUGAUUCUCCAGCUCUUUUUGAAGAAAACAGCAUUGUAACCAUCUAUCCCUGGUGCUUUGUCAUCUCCAAUAGCAUUGAGACUCUCCACAAUUUCCAUAUCAGUUAAAUCAGCACGCAGAUCCCUUCUUUGUUGUUGUGUCAGCUUUGGUCCAUUUUCCAUGUACAUUUGAUUUAUAGCUGGCAGGGUUGAUGGAGAGGUUCCCAUCAGUGCCUUGUAGAAUCCAAUGAUCUCCUUUUUGAUAUCAUCAGCUGUAGUGAUUUUGGUACCCAUUGCAUUUGUAAGUUCAGUAAUCUGGUUGUGUUGAGUUCUCUCCUUCAUGACUGCAGAGAAAUAUUUAGUGUUGGAAUCUCCAAGCUGUAUCCAUUUUGCUCUGUCCUUCUGCUGCAGAACACUUUCCUCAAUCAUUGACCAUUUUUCUAGUUUCAGUACAAGCUCCUUUUCCUUCUGCUGCAGGACAUCAGAGUAUGCAUGUGUCAUCUAGGCUUCUAUUGUCCCCAGUUCCUGUCUGCUAAGGUCUAUUCUCUGUGAGAUAGUCUUGAAUUCCUUGAUAUUUAGGUUUUCCGAGGACUUUUCAGAGCUUUGAGUUUAGACCAUAUGGCUUUCAUAGUGCCUGAACUUCCUGUAUGCCAAACUCUUGCCACAAUCUGAUGGAAAUCUUCAUGAUCAGCCCAUACAUUAAAGAACNNNNNNNNNNNNNNNNNNNNNNNNNNNNNNNNNNNNNNNNNNNNNNNNNNNNNAGCCCAUACAUUAAAGAACUUGAAAGGUUUUUUCCCAUUCCAGGAAGAUGAUGUCAAUGUCACUAUCAUGGGAUUAUGAUCUGAUAUUAGAGGAAGAUCAUAUUCAGUUACCACUUGGUUCCACUUAAUCAUCCAUUCAUAGUUACCAAACACCCUAUCCAGUCUGCUGCAUACUCUGUCUACACCAGUCUGCUUAUUUGUCUAGGUGUAGUAUUCACCCCUCCAAGGCAAUUCUGACAAUCCAGCUUGUUGAAUACACUUACUGAACUCUUGGGGUUUCAGGGAGUCUUACAGGUUUCUUGCAAGACUGCCUAUAUUUGUCACAUAAGAUAGCAUUGAAAUCUCCAGCAACUACCCAUGGAUCUUGCAUCCCUGAUGACUGUGUUUGGAGGCUGCUCCAUAGUGAUCUUUUUUGCUCCAACCCAUUGAAGCCAUACACCAUAGUGAGGAGGCAUGUGAAGUCCUCUGUCCUGCUACUAACCUUGCUAUGUAUCAAUUGGCUUUCCUCCAGAAGACUAGUGACUUCAAAUACUUUUGGGCUCCAAAAAAUCCACACUCUGCCCUUUUCACCAGAGACAUAGUUUGUUAAGAUGCCCCAUCCUGGUGCUAGUAGGUUAGCAAUUCUACUAGCAUGCAUUUGUUUUACCUUAGUUUCUACUAAUCCAACUAGGCUAAUGUUAUUUUUCCUAAUAUACUCCCUAACUUCUUUUUGCUUGUAUUUUUUAUUUACACCCCUUAUAUUCCAAAAUAACCACUUCAUUAUUGAGAAGUUGAUCCCCCUUGUUCCCCUGGAGGGUCUUCUUUACUACCAGAAAC
rnacentral:lncRNA from 1 species